rnacentral:lncRNA from 1 species
GCCCUUUUGUUAGUUAUUUUUUUUCAAUUAUAUCCUUCAAUCUAUUUUUUUUUUUAAAGUUCGGUCAUGAUUCUUUUUUUUCCUUCAACUUUUUUUCUCUCUUUUGUAAACUUUCAAUUAUUUUCAAUUUUAUUCUUUAAUCAAAAAUUUUAAUUUGUUAUUUUUUUAAUUUGUUUCUCAUUUUAAGAUUUCUUCUUUAAUUCUUCUGUGAAAUUAAUUUUUCUUUUCAUUUUAGCUGUUCAAUUCAAAAUUAUCCAUGCUCUAAUUUG